CUAACACAUGCAAGUCGAACGGUACAGGAAGAAGCUUGCUUCUUUGCUGACGAGUGGCGGACGGGUGAGUAAUGUCUGGGAAACUGCCUGAUGGAGGGGGAUAACUACUGGAAACGGUAGCUAAUACCGCAUAACGUCGCAAGACCAAAGAGGGGGACCUUCGGGCCUCUUGCCAUCGGAUGUGCCCAGAUGGGAUUAGCUAGUAGGUGGGGUAACGGCUCACCUAGGCGACGAUCCCUAGCUGGUCUGAGAGGAUGACCAGCCACACUGGAACUGAGACACGGUCCAGACUCCUACGGGAGGCAGCAGUGGGGAAUAUUGCACAAUGGGCGCAAGCCUGAUGCAGCCAUGCCGCGUGUAUGAAGAAGGCCUUCGGGUUGUAAAGUACUUUCAGCGGGGGAGGAAGGGAGUAAAGUUAAUACCUUUGCUCAUUGACGUUACCCGCAGAAGAAGCACCGGCUAACUCCGUGCCAGCAGCCGCGGUAAUACGGAGGGUGCAAGCGUUAAUCGGAAUUACUGGGCGUAAAGCGCACGCAGGCGGUUUGUUAAGUCAGAUGUGAAAUCCCCGGGCUCAACCUGGGAACUGCAUCUGAUACUGGCAAGCUUGAGUCUCGUAGAGGGGGGUAGAAUUCCAGGUGUAGCGGUGAAAUGCGUAGAGAUCUGGAGGAUACCGGUGGCGAA
rnacentral:rRNA from 1 species